ACAUUCGGGUAAUCGCUGCCGCAUCAUGCGGUAGAGGAAAGUCCAUGCUCGCACAGUGCUGUGAUGCCUGUAGUGUUCAUGCCUGACGAAACAAUAAGUCAGGGCAGCUCGGUAUAAACGGGGCUGACGGCAGGGAAAACACCUACGUCUUCUUGAUAUGGUGUGACUACCUUGAAAGUGCCACAGUGACGGAGCUUUGUUGGAAACAGCAAAGGUGGAACGAGGUAAACCCCAUGAGCGAGCAACUCAAAAUUUGGUAGAGGCACUCUUUCUGAGGAAACGAACGAGGAAAGAGGCAAGAUAUGAUGAUCUUGCAGAUAGAUGAUUACCGCCGGAGUACGAGGUCCACCUUUGACCGCUUGCAGUACAAAGGUACAGAACAUGGCUUACAUGA
rnacentral:RNase_P_RNA from 1 species